AGAAAGGAGUUUGGGGAGCAGCGACUUGCCCGUGAGCAAAGCGAGAAGAAGAUGGAAGAGCAGGGACAACAUAUUGCAAAUAUACAAUCCAUGAUGUCACAGUACUUAAAGCACUGUCGUGGAGGACCGUCUAUUUGAUGGAUAGUGGAAUGCUUGCUGUUGGAUUUAUUAGUUGUUUUAUUUGGAUGUUAUGAAGUUUGCGUUGACUACUUUGUCUUUAUUUGGAUGUUAUGAUAUAAUUUGCUUGAAUGUUCAUUUUGUUUGAUAAGGAUACACAUAUUUUGUGGAGUUUCACUA